GAUCUUAGGGUCAUAAAGGAGUGAGUCAUAAAGCCCCCUGGGAGAAGAGCACUCCAGACAGAGAAAAUCACAAGUGAAGAGCCUCUGAAGACAUAUAAGGAUUAAGCAACUGCAAGGCUGUGUGUGUGGCUGACAUGAAGUGAGCUCUGGAGGAGAGGAGAGGAUGAGGCCAGGAGGUGUCUCAGGGGCCAGAUCCAGUAACUGCUGGGCCAUCCAUAGGCCCGUGGCUUUUAGUUUGAGAUGGGGAGCCACCAGUUGGUUCUGAAGAAAGGACUGAAAUGAGCUGACAUUGAACUACAGCUAUAUUGAUUGAUGCAGAGCCACAAAAAAGGACUGAGCACAAGAUCAAGUCUGCGGUAGCUGAGGAGUGCCCCCUACAGACUGACAUGCGCCACGCAAGCAGAUGACAAGGCAGGAGCAGAGCCGCAGAGUCUGCGGAUUCUCAGGCGUCAGUGAGGGAAGAAUGUGCCCAGCUUUAGAGAGUGCACAAUACACAACAACAAAGUUGAAGCACCCCUCUGACCCAACUCUCCUCGCCCAAUUGCCUGAGAAUUGGACCUUUAGUAUAUACCACUGAUUGGUUGCAGUAUGUGUUCCACACAGGCUGGAUUUUAAUUCCAGACUUUCAUUACAUGUCUACUGUUGCCAUUGUAUGUAUCUUAAUUUCUGUGCCAUUUUACUAAAAAUGAUUCAAAACAAAAGCAGUCAAAGCUCAUUAAAGGUACACUCAAG
rnacentral:lncRNA from 1 species